UGCCGAGACGCACUUCGUAUCCUCAACUCCCAGCCCACCUCCUCCUUCCCGUCUCUGCUCAAAUCUCUACAUUUUCUCCGGCUCCAUGCCAAGUUCAUGAGCGGGGUUUGGUGGCUUCGGAUUUGAUAGAUCCCCGGUAGUCCCAUGGGUGGAUUCAGUGGCAACUGCGGGUUGGGGGUCGUGGCGUUCUAUGUGCCCCAUGCAAAAUUCAUGAGCACGGAAUUGGUGGCCUCAGAUUCGAUCGAUACCCGGCUGUACUGCAUGGGUGGAUCGACGACAACCGCAGGACAGGGCCGUGCUCUUCUUCUCUCUCUGGAUCAUGCUCGCGGCCCUCAACAGGCUGGUGCGGCCAACGCCAAAUGGGUGCCAGAUGACCUACAUGUAUCCAUCCUACAUCCUCAUCCCUGCUCCCAACAACAUCUCCUCGGACAAGUACGGGCUGUUUCUAUAACACGGGGACUUGGAACUAGAUCGACUUCUAUCUGCUGCAACUUCCUGACGCAUGAUUUGGCAGCAAGCUACUUGACAACUUGUUGUAGAUAGUGAAGGAACCUUGGAUUGGAGAAAGGUGCUAUCUGGAACAUGUCUCAUCAUUGCCAGUUAGAACUACAAACCAUGCUAAUGUUGUCAGUUUUGUCCUCCUUCACAGAUUUUGUCCUUUACUAGCUUUAGUGGUUCACUUUCGCCAUUAGAAAUCUAAGCUUCAAAACUUUACAAAGAGCAACAUGCAAUGGUUCAUAUGUAGCUAGGUCUGAUAGAUAGUGCUUCCUUUCCUGUCCUUGGCCAUGGAGUUCAUUCUUGCAUAUGUAUUGUGUUCUUACGAGCAAUAUUGGAAAAUAUGUUUGGCACCACCUAAUCAUUUUGUGAAUACUUGCUGGAGAUUAUAUGCUAAAUUGAG